UCGCCAAAAACAUGGUGUAAAAGCUUAAUAUGUUCAUACAUAUUUUAAAUCAGAUAACUAAAGUAUAAAAUUACUUUUACAAUGACACGUGGGCCCCCAACUAACCAAUAAGAUGCGAGUCUGUGAACCUAUAAUUUUGAUAAUGCAAGGCUAACUGAAGUCCUUGAUGCAAUCGGCUAUCUACCGGCUAUCCCAAGCCUGAAAUGUGUGGAAUUGAAGGUGGUGAGAUUAUAAAAUCUCAGUGAGUAAACAAACACCAUCUAAAUAAUCUAAAGACGAGUAAAGGGAGACAAUUAAAAAUAAUUCAUUUCAGCAAAUUUUUCACAUCACGAAUAUUC
rnacentral:lncRNA from 1 species